rnacentral:rRNA from 1 species
AUUGAACGCUGGCGGCAUGCUUUACACAUGCAAGUCGAACGGUAACAGGGUGCUUGCACCGCUAACGAGUGGCGAACGGGUGAGUAAUGCGUCGGAACGUGCCGAGUAGUGGGGGAUAACGCAGCGAAAGUUGUGCUAAUACCGCAUACGUACUGAGGUAGAAAGUGGGGGACCUUCGGGCCUCACGCUAUUCGAGCGGCCGACGUCUGAUUAGCUAGUAGGUGAGGUAAUGGCUCACCUAGGCGACGAUCAGUAGCGGGUCUGAGAGGAUGAUCCGCCACACUGGGACUGAGACACGGCCCAGACUCCUACGGGAGGCAGCAGUGGGGAAUUUUGGACAAUGGGCGAAAGCCUGAUCCAGCCAUGCCGCGUGUCUGAAGAAGGCCUUCGGGUUGUAAAGGACUUUUGUCAGGGAGGAAAUCCCUAGUGCUAAUAACACUGGGGGAUGACAGUACCUGAAGAAUAAGCACCGGCUAACUACGUGCCAGCCGCCGCGGUAA